rnacentral:rRNA from 1 species
GCUCAGGACGAACGCUGGCGGCGUGCCUAAUACAUGCAAGUAGAACGCUNGAAGGAGGAGCUUGCUUCUCUGGAUGAGUUGCGAACGGGUGAGUAACGCGUAGGUAACCUGCCUGGUAGCGGGGGAUAACUAUUGGAAACGAUAGCUAAUACCGCAUAACAGUAGAUGUUGCAUGACAUUUGCUUAAAAGGUGCAAUUGCAUCACUACCAGAUGGACCUGCGUUGUAUUAGCUAGUUGGUGGGGUAACGGCUCACCAAGGCGACGAUACAUAGCCGACCUGAGAGGGUGAUCGGCCACACUGGGACUGAGACACGGCCCAGACUCCUACGGGAGGCAGCAGAAGGGCGAAUUCGU